UGCCGUCGUGCUGCGCGUUCCGUUCACUAGUCGCAGAAUGACCAUGCUAGGCUAAUGCGCUGAAAUUAGGUUCAAAGCUUUGAUCCUCUAAUAAUCAUGAGUUCUUGAUACCUCAACUCGCUCCGUUGCGGCAUGCCACACUUUAAAAUAAGAAACAAUUUACCUUACAUUGGUGAUAUGCAGCCAAAAAAUCCAAGCGUCGCCAUGCGAAAGCUACGCAUUAUAACAAGAUAGAUAUACAAGGAAUGGGAGGACGCGUGGAGCGUCUUGGAUAUUGAACAUCAGCUCCAAGACCACGGGGCAUCAAAUGAAUGUAGGCAGUGUGGUACCAUCCGGGAAGAGCCCCGAAAAAGGGACUAUUUCCCCGAGCAACCUAGUGCCUGUUCGCUGGGAAAAGUACUUGUGUCAGAAGCUGGCGUGACACAUAGAUAAACUGGACAUCCUGGAGAAACACUCAAGGGCGCAAGAUAUGCACAAACAACAGCAGGUGAAAGGGAACUAAUAAGGAAAGUGGAGUUUAAAGCAGCCCUGUUCAACAAGACAUAACUUCCAUGAACAUCGAAUAUGUAUCUACCACCAUUCCAGUCAAGCAUUUUCUAGAUCUAGCAUUCUCUCGGUCAAGGAUGUUCUACUGGUGUUCUCUAGAUUGUUGCCUUCUUGUCGUUCUUACCUUGUCAAUGUAUUUAACCAUCUCAAGAUAGCUGAGAUCUAUUUUCAUCAAUGAAUGUGCUCGCCAACAUAAGGCAA
rnacentral:sRNA from 1 species